ACAAUAUCAAGUGUGCAAAGUAAUAGUAAUCAACAAAUUUAGUCCAUUUGUUAAAAUUUAUUGUAUAAUCAAAUAUUUGCAUUAACUGCAAUGCAUACGUCUUUCAUUUUGUCAGUCUUAGCUUUAAUAAUCUUAUCGGCUUGGAUCGUUCAUUCAAUUGAUUAUGUCGGUACUCCCAUCGAUAUCAAGGAUGCCCCAUAUCGAGUGUGGAUAAUUAGGAAUGAACCAUAAAUCAAUAUUGGCCCAGAAAAAAAAUGGAAAGGUUUUCAUGCCGGCGGAGCAGUAAUAUCACAUCGUGUGGUCUUAACAACAGCAUUAGGAAAGGCUUCGUCACCAAAGGAUGUAAGAGCAAAUUAUAUUGUAUAUGCGGGUUGUACUAACUUAGGAGACAAUACUACCCAACGGUUUCGGAUACAACGAUUUGUAAGGCAUGAGAGUUAUCAUAAGAAUACGUAUUUGCACAAUAUUGGAUUGGCGUAUCUAGAUAGAUUUAUACCAUGGGACUCAAAAACCAUAAGGCCCGUGAAUAUCGGAACAUUCAUUGAAAAGUUUAAAGAAUAUAAAUGUGAUUAUACCGCAUGGUUUUAAAAAUAGGUGCGCACCUAAGUCAAUCAAAACUAUUAUAUUUAGUAGGCAGGCUCGUAUUCCAAAGUGGUUCUGAUUCUCUCGCAUUUUUUUCACGUUACCGAGUACGAGCUAGAAUAUGACCGAUUGGAAUUAGUGCGUUUAGAGACUUUUCCUUACGCUGCUUGUUUUCAAAUGUUCCAUGAGGGGCCAGUCCGUGGUUAUAUCUGCACCGAACCAAAAAAUGAAAUAAAAUAUUCCGAUUAUGAAGAAGGUGCUCCAUUGGUUUGCGAAAACAAUUUGUACGGAAUUGCGAUACCCCCCAUUUCCGGGAGCUCACACUCAAAUGGUGGAAUUCCUCCCAGUCCCUAAAUAUUUAAAAUGGAUAAAGAAGGUCAACUCAUCUUUUCCAUAUUUGAACAAUUCAAAGGAUAAUUCGACAGAUAUUGAUUAUGAUUAUGAUUAUUCGAUGGAUUAUUCUUUCUUAUUUCCGACAACUACGACAGUUUCAAAUUCAGCUUUUCAUAUGCAGAGACGUUACAAUUUACAAGAUACUUGCUUGAUAACCAUGGCUGCCUUUCUACUUUGGACUACGUGAGUCCAGAACAAGGCCAAAUUGUUAGCAACUGAUCAAGUCUAUAAUGAUUCUAUGAAGAGUUUCUUAAAAGCUGAAAAACAUUUCUGGCAAUAUUUAAUGUUCCACAAUAAACAAUUUUUCAAGACCAAAAAGUUGA